UACGAAGGGGGCUAGCGUUGUUCGGAAUUACUGGGCGUAAAGCGCACGUAGGCGGAUAUUUAAGUCAGGGGUGAAAUCCCAGAGCUCAACUCUGGAACUGCCUUUGAUACUGGGUAUCUUGAGUAUGGAAGAGGUAAGUGGAAUUCCGAGUGUAGAGGUGAAAUUCGUAGAUAUUCGGAGGAACACCAGUGGCGAAGGCGGCUCACUGGCCCGGUACUGACGCUGAGGCGCGAAAGCGUGGGGAGCAAACAGG
rnacentral:rRNA from 1 species